AUGAUGUACGCCGUGAAGCGGGACGGGCGGACGGAGACGGUGCACUUUGACAAGAUCACGGUGCAGCUUAAGAAGCUCAGCUAUGGGCUCAGCCAGGAGCACUGCGACCCCGUGCUUGUCGCGCAGAAGGUCUGCGUCAGGGUAUACAUGGGCGUCACCACCAGCCAGCUCGACGAGCUCGGCGCCGAGACCGCCGCCGCGCUCACCGCCUCCCAGCAUGACUAUGCCUCCCUCGCGGCGAGGAUUGAUGUGUCCAACCUGCCGCCAAGUGGAAAUAGUCUGUGUGGUGCUCGUAAAUAG
rnacentral:rRNA from 1 species